ACCCUCCAGACUCCAUACCCCUCAGAUCUGCACCCUGGUCUGAGUGGCUAUGGAAGGAGGAAAUGUAAAACGGAAGUGGACCAGGAUUCUUUUGAGACACACAAGGUCGUUUUAAACCACCA
ensembl:snoRNA